rfam:Setaria italica strain Yugu1 chromosome II, whole genome shotgun sequence.
GGACUGUGAUGAAAAAUGCAACCAAAACACACCAUCUUUCGGGGCUGAUUGGCUCGUGCCAUGCUGCCAACUCUGCAAUUCUGAUGUCC